rnacentral:snRNA from 1 species
GUGCUCACUUUAGCAGCACAUAUACUAAAAUUGGAAUGAUACAGAGAAGAUUAGCAUGGCCCCUGCGCAAGAAUGACAUGCAAAUUUACGAAGCGUUCCAUAUUUUU